UGCUGGAAAAAAAGGAGGGGAAAACCGGAGCAGAAAUAAUUGCUGGAGCUUCCAGUGAGCUGAGAGAGCCUGCAGGCAGAGAUCAACGGGCCUGAUUUCAUCCUCUUCCUUUUAUUUCUAUAACCUUAAACGUUCUGCUAUUAUAAAAGUCAUCAUGUCAGCUUUCUCUCCAGCCUCUCCAGCUGCCCAUUUUCAAAUUGUAUCAAUUGGUAUUAUGGCAAAUUGCAAGAGAAUAACAUUUGUCAUGAAUCUCCUGGCUACAGUGGGCGAAGAGGAGUCUGAUUCUUGGCAGUCGUCUAAGUUCUUGAGGUUCUUGGUGACCAUUGGCUUCAAAACAGGACAACUAAGUAAUAAGAGCUUCACAGAGAGAGCGGGCCCUCACAUGGGCCCCUGUAAUCCACCACUUUUUAAAAAUAGAUUCAGAGGGUGCAUGGGCAGGUUCGUUACAUGGGCGUACUGCGUAAUGCUGGAGUUUGGGUGUCUAGCGAACCCAGCACCUGAAUAGCAUCACUCACCACUUUCGAAGUGGCAAGGGCUAAGAAACAAGGGCUGUGCUGGCCUUUUUAGCUGGAGGACUGCAUAAGCAGUACGAAAUAAGCAUAUUUUAAAAAUACAAGCAUAAACUGCCGAUGUCAGCAAGUACACAGGUUUGCAGGGAGAGCUGACGCAUCCUGUGGCGGGUGCUCUAGAGAGCGCGUUAUUAAAAUGUUCGGGCGGAUGGUGGGAGGGCUGCGGAACAAAUACCGACUUCCACAGUCCUCUCCACGCAUCGUCCAACGGGAACGCUGGAAUAAAUGACCUGCUGACUUUGUCAUGCAAAAAGAUGUGGCCCCAUCCAGCCAUCCCGCACCGUCCCCAUCGAGGCAGAAGAUAGUAACCAAGAAGGAAGCCAAGGAGUGGCGGAAGAAGUUAAACCAGACACACAGAAAGAGAUGAGGCUCUCCACCAGGCCCCCAGAUGAUCCUCUUUGGAGACAGAUUGGAGCUGUGGAAGACGCAGGAGGGGGAGGCACGAGGGAGGCUGACAGGAAGUGAGGAUUCGAAACUUCAAAUACAAACAUUAUGAAAAACAAGCAACAUCUGCAAACAACACUCUUGCUCAGGCACUUCCUGGACAGUUGGAUAUAACUGAGCAAUCUCCGUGCAACGGGAAACCAGAAAAGCCCAACUUUCAGCAGGCUUAAUAUUUGGAUAAUCCUGCAUAAUGAUUUCAGGGUUAAGUCACAGAAUGCUCUAUCAGCUUCUCUAUGCAUACUAGGUGCCCAGACUGCUGGGUGACCUGCUUUGGGGGAGAAAAAGCGAGGGUGGGGGGAAGAUCCCUCUGUGUAAACAAACAAUUUUUUGCUGCCUUGGCAAAAUGUAAACAGAACCCACGCACCUUGCCCUGGGGAUCAGCCUGGCAAGAUCUAGUUUGACAGAACUUGCUGCACAGCGUCUCCUCGACGUCCUGGAAAUUCUAGAGGGAAAAAUAACGCACGAGUUGCUGCUGUCUGUGCCUUGUGGAAUCUUAAGUAGAAUGAAACAGGCCCCCGACAAUCAAUAUUACUGACAAAUAAAUUAAUCUCGGCAAAUAAACUGUUGUUAGCUUCAAGGCUGUCCCAGUACCCAGAAUAAUUGCUUAAAUGAAGCUGAGGCCUUUUCACCAGUUUGCAGCUAUUUUUUCUGGUCAUCUACCUGUGGGUAGCACUCAGGUUGUCCAGAGGGAAUUGGUUUUAUAAAAUAAAAUCAUACAGUGGCCCUGACCUUGCUCCAUUAGCUCCCUCAGUGCUAGAGCUCUGUCCUGGCUUCAGAACAAACACUUUUGCCAAAUGCUGAGAAGAUGCCUGCCCUUCACCUACCUUGAGGGAGGCAGGAGGCAAGAGAGAAGUAGGCAGUGAUUGUCUACAUUGCUGCCCAAACCCUUAAGUUUAGCAGAAGUAGUUUGGAAGCUUGGGGUAAGCAAGGCACUCAAUGUCAAGAUUGCAAAAUUCUAGUUUUUCUUAAGGAAUAUAAAGGGCACAUAUACUCCUGUGACUUCCAAGAUCCCUAAGUUUGUGUGGGAGGAGUUGGGGGAGGGGGGUUCAUAUCUAGAGGUAAAACUCACCCAGUCUGCACCACUAUUAAAUAUUGGUCUGCUUUGUGCCAGUUGAAACAUAGUCAUCGCCCCCCUCCCCAAGCCCUCUGCUGCCCACAGCUCUGGCCUUUCCUCAGAACUUCCUCCCCUUUCCUUAAUUCAGCACCUAAAGGGUUAAUAUCUAAGGCAGCAGGAACUCCCAGCACCCCGACCCCAGUGCUGAUUGGUGGCGGUGGGGGGGUGGUCAGUGCCAGCAGUGGCUAAAUAUUUUGACUCUACCCCUAGCUCACAUCCUCAUGGGUGCCCCAGCCUGAUGUCAUUUGGCCUGUCCUGGGUUCUCAUGCCGUGACCCUCUGCAGUGCCUCUUCCUGGGAGUGAGAAAGACAGCAGAUGGAUCAGCUUUUCUGAGCUCAUCCCUUGUUAGAAUUACAGUUCCAGCUAGUCUAGGAUCUGAGACACUCAGGAAUAGCAGGCGAAACAGGCGAGACAUUUCCCAAGUCACAAAGAGUACACAGCCACAGAAAUCAACAGUCACAAGGGUCUAAUUGUCAUUAGCAUGUAAAUUUUAAAAGCUCAGUCAAAAAUAUCAAUACCUCCCACUUAAUUUAUUACUAUAUAAAGAUGGAUGGGAGUGAAGCAUAGCAUUGAUUUUCAGAGCCCUUAAAAAGAAGGGGGAAGAAAAUAGAGACAACACAAAAUGCCGUGCCUCCAAAUUAAUCAACGUGCUUUUUAAACACACACACACGCACACACACAAAUCCUGUACCAACAGCCUGUGCAGUUCAAUCUUAUUUGAUUGCCUUUUCUGAAAAUGAAGAAAUGGAAUAGGCCAUUUAUGUAAAGAGCCCUCUCAGAAUGGAUUAUAUGUAAAGACAGGUUAGCAUUUUUACUGUAUCGACAGCAAACCAUUAGGCAGCCACACUCCAGCCCAGCCACUGAGAGGAAAUCGAAGAGAAGAGUUCCCUGGCCGGGCCAGGCAGGACAGCCUAUCAGCUCCUGGUCACUGUCACUGAUCAUCCCAGCCCAGGCUGCGGCUCUUCUCCCCGCAUGGCAUGACGACGCCAUCACCCUCAUAGUUACCAAAGUGUUAGAAUAGUCGUGACCACUAAAAAGUAAGUAAAUUCAUCACCAGGUUGAAAACUGUGCUGGAGAGCCUAUAAUCUGGGAAUAGUGUUUGUGUCUGAAAUCACACAGAGAUCAGAGCAAAAUUGUCCCGUGUCAUGAGAAGAUGGGUCACCCCUCUGCAUUUGACAUUUUGAGAUGUUUGCAUCUGUACAGAGGGAGAAAGAGGGCUGGAGAGAAACGACUGCAACGAGAGCAAAAAGGAAAAACAGUAAAGACGUUAGAGACAUUCAUUUUGGAAACACCCUCACGUUACAGAGCACCCAACGAAUACUAUGAAAAGUGGUCAUUAUCAGCCCGGCAAACACUGCUGUGCCGUCUUGCUUGCGAGGAAUGCUGCUGCAUGGGUUUCAAGACAAGAAUCCAGGCUGAAUCAGCAGUGCGGUUUCAACAGUGAUGAGAACAAGUAACUAAGAUCUCUUCUUCCCUUAUUGCUGCAGAAGAGCAAUUAAGGCUGCAUAUUUAGAGAUGAUAUCAGCCAGGAAUCCUGCACAGAGAGAAAAACUCGUUGCAUUUUUUUCUUUCUUCCUUUCCCCGUUCCCUUUUCUGUCCAAAGGAAACCCACAGCAAACUGCGUAAAUGCCGCAGGCACGCAAGCCGACUCCAAACCGCCUACCAAGGGUCAGCUCUACCUGCAGCUGUUGCACAAAAUAAAAUCAACGCAGCCCACCCCAGGCAAACACCCUCUGUGGCUCUUUAUUACCAAAUGAUAUGAACUUUGACCCAACCUGAACAAAAUUUAAUAUUUUCUCCCAAAUAUUUAAAAAAUUCAUUCUGGGGCUUGAGUGGAGUCAGGGAGUCUGCGAGCCGUAAUUUGACAUCUGAAUUAUUCUGAGGCUAAUACGGAAAGCUAUUCAGGAGCUUAUUUGGAGAUGUGUCAAUCAAGAUAUCACUUGUACAGGGAAGAUGGACUCAGGCUUAGGAGUGCAGAUAGCUUUCAGGGAAUCACAAAAUAAAAACCAGGCAGGCUCUGAUGAAUACGUUACGUCUUCAUUCUUGAUGAUGACAUUUUUUUUUUCUUGAUAGAGAGUACAGACCUAACAGAGCGAUGUCUCAGGGACGUGCCUUUUUCCACACCUGUGAAAACAUUUUAACGUUUAUUUAAAAUGAUAACCAUAAACAACAAACAUGGUGUCGAAACUCGCCUCUGUUCAUUUUACUGCGCUGAUUAAGAUUUUAAGCAACGCUUCUAAAUUAGACUGUCAGGCAGCCAUCCUCAAUGCAGGGUUGAGGUUCUGAUCUCGAGCUAGCUUGUGUGAACACACGGCCUUUCUGGGUUGAUUGUGAGCCUGGCCAGCAGCCUUCAAUGUUCUUUCAUUCAUUUUCGAUGAGACGGGGAGGGAUUCAAUUAGCCCUGAUUGUCCAUGAGAUGUGGCCCAAAAUAAAACCACUGGGCUCUGAUAGCCUCCUCUCAAGGUAUUUCCCAGCUGACAGGUAACAAUGUUAAUUACCCAUUAUUAUGA
rnacentral:lncRNA from 1 species